AGCUCAGCUGGAUAGAGUACCUGGCUACGAACCAGGCGGUCGGAGGUUCGAAUCCUCCC
rnacentral:tRNA from 1 species